rnacentral:rRNA from 1 species
ACAGAGGGGUGCAAGCGUUAAUCGGAAAUUACUGGGCGUAAAGCGAGCGUAGGUGGCUUGAUAAGUCAGAUGUGAAAUCCCCGGGCUUAACCUGGGAACUGCAUCUGAAACUGUUAGGCUAGAGUAGGUGAGAGGAAGGUAGAAUUCCAGGUGUAGCGGUGAAAUGCGUAGAGAUCUGGAGGAAUACCGAUGGCGAAGGCAGCCUUCUGGCAUCAUACUGACACUGAGGCUCGAAAGCGUGGGUAGCAAACAGGAUUAGAUACCCUGGUAGUCCCACGCCGUAAACGAUGUCUACUAGUCGUUGGGUCCCUUGAGGACUUAGUGACGCAGCUAACGCAAUAAGUAGACCGCCUGGGGAGUACGGCCGCAAGGUUAAAACUCAAAUGAAUUGACGGGGGCCCGCACAAGCGGUGGAGCAUGUGGUUUAAUUCGAUGCAACGCGAAGAGCCUUACCUGGUCUUGACAUAUCUAGAAUCCUGCAGAGAUGCGGGAGUGCCUUCGGGAAUUAGAAUACAGGUGCUGCAUGGCUGUCGUCAGCUCGUGUCGUGAGAUGUUGGGUUAAGUCCCGCAACGAGCGCAACCCUUGUCCUUAGUUACCAGCGGGUUAAGCCGGGAACUCUAAGGAUACUGCCAGUGACAAACUGGAGGAAGGCGGGGACGACGUCAAGUCAUCAUGGCCCUUACGACCAGGGCUACACACGUGCUACAAUGGUAGGUACAGAGGGCAGCUACACAGCGAUGUGAUGCGAAUCUCAAAAAGCCUAUCGUAGUCCAGAUUGGAGUCUGCAACUCGACUCCAUGAAGUAGGAAUCGCUAGUAAUCGCGGAUCAGAAUGCCGCGGUGAAUACGUUCCCGGGCCUUGUACACACCGCCCGUC